CCGCGGGCUGCACGCCCGACAGCGGCCGAGGGGCACCGCGGGCAGCGGGGAGGGGAGCGGUGCCGACCCUGCGGGACUGCGCGUCCAUCGGCACGGUGCGGAGCGAACGGUCGCGUCUGUCGUCCGGCUCCGGCCUCCGCGCCUCUCCUGUCAGCCUUCAGCAAACCUGUCUCUCAGACCUGAGGGCUUCAGGGAAGGACUCCGGCUGUCAGUACGGUGCCUGGCGGCCCGCCUUAAUGCGAGGCAGAUUUCCAGACUACUUCUCAAUGCUGUUCAGUAAAUUCUCUGUUACUGCAGCAAGUCUUUUCCAAGCACAUUAUCAGCUUCUGAUGUCCAAUGAUUAUACUGCCAACUGUCUACAAGACAGGAAAUGGGUGAAACAGAAGAAGUGGCAGUGAAAGAAAACCUGAUGCCCCAUCAAAGACAAAUAUGUCAAAUGUAGAAGAAAGUGUGAAGUACUCCUAUAGAAAAGAAUCCGUCAGAAGUAAAUCUACAGCUGGUGAGGGUGUUGAGUAAGGGAAGGAAGGGGAGAAAAAAUGAGAGGAGUUCAUGAAAAAGUAUCCCAAAAUAACUGGAAGAAAAGGACUAAGAUUGCUUUUACUGUGAAGAAGAGGCACAGUCAAAUACUUAACUUGAUUUUUUAAAGAAGAUCACGUCAGUGUUCUUGCUACUUACAAAAAAAAAAAAAAAAGUCCACAAUUAUUAACAACUUACACUGAAGAUAUAUUUCUGCAAAGAUUUCCUUUGCAGAAACUGUGAAUUCAGUCAGAUCACAUCUAAGCUUUCAGCAUGAGUAGUCCCAAUGAAAUGAGCAAGAAGAGUUAUGAAUUAAAAUGAAGAAAUUAAUUAGUUUUUAAGCACAAGUCUUAGUUGUCUCUGAUUCAUUCUUACUCUGACUGUUAAAACCCAUAUAUUUAUAUGCAGCAUAUACAAAAAGAGGCGUUGUCUGUAAGCCUAGUGAAGCUCUACUUAGUCUAAAAACGUAAUGCUAACAAUAUUAUUCCUCUAUAUUUCUAGUAAUAUUAUUUAGGUAAAUACUAUGAACAAGUCUUCUUGAAAACAAUGCCAAAAUAAUUUAUGAUCAUUAUUGAAAAUAUUCAGAACUGUCUUUGUGAGAAAAGAGGUUGGGACCUCUUUAACCCACUAAUGAUGUAAACAUGUGAGCUCUCACAGUGGUUAUUUUCUUCUCUUUUCCUUCUCUGAUAUACUAAACAUGCAGCAAGACAAGGUUAUAUGC
ensembl:lncRNA